rnacentral:rRNA from 1 species
UACGUAGGUGGCAAGCGUUAUCCGGAAUUAUUGGGCGUAAAGCGCGCGCAGGCGGUCCUUUAAGUCUGAUGUGAAAGCCCACGGCUCAACCGUGGAGGGUCAUUGGAAACUGGGGGACUUGAGUGCAGAAGAGGAGAGCGGAAUUCCACGUGUAGCGGUGAAAUGCGUAGAGAUGUGGAGGAACACCAGUGGCGAAAGCGGCUCUCUGGUCUGUAACUGACGCUGAGGCGCGAAAGCGUGGGGAGCGAACAGG